rnacentral:rRNA from 1 species
UACGGAGGGUGCAAGCGUUAUCCGGAUUCACUGGGUUUAAAGGGUGCGUAGGAGGGCAGGUAAGUCAGUGGUGAAAUCUCCGGGCUUAACCCGGAAACUGCCGUUGAUACUAUUUGUCUUGAAUACCGUGGAGGUGAGCGGAAUAUGUCAUGUAGCGGUGAAAUGCUUAGAUAUGACAUAGAACACCAAUUGCGAAGGCAGCUCACUACACGGUCAUUGACUCUGAGGCACGAAAGCGUGGGGAUCAAACAGG